AGUGAGAAUGCCGGUGUGAGUAGCGAAAGACGGGUGAGAAUCCCGUCCACUGAUUGACUAAGGUUUCCAGAGGAAGGCUCGUCCGCUCUGGGUUAGUCGCGUCCUAAGCUGAGGCCGACAGGCGUAGGCGAUGGAUAACAGGUUGAUAUUCCUGUACCACCUAUAAUCGUUUUAAUCGAUGGGGGGACGCAGUAGGAUAGGCGAAGCGUGCGAUUGGAUUGCACGUCUAAGCAGUAAGGCUGAGUAUUAGGCAAAUCCGGUACUCGUUAAGGCUGAGCUGUGAUGGGGAGAAGACAUUGAGUCUUCGAGUCGUUGAUUUCACACUGCCGAGAAAAGCCUCUAGAUAGAAAAUAGGUGCCCGUACCGCAAACCGACACAGGUAGUCAAGAUGAGAAUUCUAAGGUGAGCGAGCGAACUCUCGUUAAGGAACUCGGCAAAAUGACCCCGUAACUUCGGGAGAAGGGGUGCUCUUUAGGGUUAACGCCCAGAAGAGCCGCAGUGAAUAGGCCCAAGCGACUGUUUAUCAAAAACACAGGUCUCUGCUAAACCGUAAGGUGAUGUAUAGGGGCUGACGCCUGCCCGGUGCUGGAAGGUUAAGAGGAGUGGUUAGCUUCUGCGAAGCUACGAAUCGAAGCCCCAGUAAACGGCGGCCGUAACUAUAACGGUCCUAAGGUAGCGAAAUUCCUUGUCGGGUAAGUUCCGACCCGCACGAAAGGCGUAACGAUUUGGGCACUGUCUCAACGAGAGACUCGGUGAAAUCAUAGUACCUGUGAAGAUGCAGGUUACCCGCGACAGGACGGAAAGACCCCGUGGAGCUUUACUGUAGCCUGAUAUUGAAAUUCGGCACAGCUUGUACAGGAUAGGUAGGAGCCUUUGAAACGUGAGCGCUAGCUUACGUGGAGGCGCUGGUGGGAUACUACCCUAGCUGUGUUGGCUUUCUAACCCGCACCACUUAUCGUGGUGGGAGACAGUGUCAGGCGGGCAGUUUGACUGGGGCGGUCGCCUCCUAAAAGGUAACGGAGGCGCUCAAAGGUUCCCUCAGAAUGGUUGGAAAUCAUUCAUAGAGUGUAAAGGCAUAAGGGAGCUUGACUGCGAGACCUACAAGUCGAGCAGGGUCGAAAGACGGACUUAGUGAUCCGGUGGUUCCGCAUGGAAGGGCCAUCGCUCAACGGAUAAAAGCUACCCCGGGGAUAACAGGCUUAUCUCCCCCAAGAGUUCACAUCGACGGGGAGGUUUGGCACCUCGAUGUCGGCUCAUCGCAUCCUGGGGCUGUAGUCGGUCCCAAGGGUUGGGCUGUUCGCCCAUUAAAGCGGUACGCGAGCUGGGUUCAGAACGUCGUGAGACAGUUCGGUCCCUAUCCGUCGUGGGCGUAGGAAAUUUGAGAGGAGCUGUCCUUAGUACGAGAGGACCGGGAUGGACAUACCUCUGGUGUACCAGUUGUCGUGCCAACGGCAUAGCUGGGUAGCUAUGUGUGGACGGGAUAAGUGCUGAAAGCAUCUAAGCAUGAAGCCCCCCUCAAGAUGAGAUUUCCCAACUUCGGUUAUAAGAUCCCUCAAAGAUGAUGAGGUUAAUAGGUUCGAGGUGGAAGCAUGGUGACAUGUGGAGCUGACGAAUACUAAUCGAUCGAAGACUUAAUCAA
rnacentral:rRNA from 1 species